rnacentral:siRNA from 1 species
GGUAUGGGUCCCGCCUCUGGG